UACGGGGGGGGCAAGCGUUGUUCGGAAUUACUGGGCGUAAAGGGCGCGUAGGCGGCCUUCUAAGUCGGACGUGAAAUCCCUCGGCUUAACCGAGGAACUGCGUCCGAUACUGAAAGGCUUGAAUCCGGGAGAGGGAUGUGGAAUUCCAGGUGUAGCGGUGAAAUGCGUAGAUAUCUGGAGGAACGCCGGUGGCGAAGGCGGCAUCCUGGACCGGUAUUGACGCUGAGGCGCGAAAGCUAGGGGAGCAAACGGG
rnacentral:rRNA from 1 species